AACGAACGCUGGCGGCAGGCUUAACACAUGCAAGUCGAACGCCCCGCCAGGGGAGUGGCAGACGGGUGAGUAACGCGUGGGAAUCUACCCAUCCCUACGGAAUAACGCAUGGAAACGUGUGCUAAUACCGUAUACGCCCUACGGGGGAAAGAUUUAUCGGGGAUGGAUGAGCCCGCGUUGGAUUAGCUAGUUGGUGGGGUAAAGGCCUACCAAGGCGACGAUCCAUAGCUGGUCUGAGAGGAUGAUCAGCCACAUUGGGACUGAGACACGGCCCAAACUCCUACGGGAGGCAGCAGUGGGGAAUAUUGGACAAUGGGCGCAAGCCUGAUCCAGCCAUGCCGCGUGAGUGAUGAAGGCCUUAGGGUUGUAAAGCUCUUUCACCGGAGAAGAUAAUGACGGUAUCCGGAGAAGAAGCCCCGGCUAACUUCGUG
rnacentral:rRNA from 1 species